rnacentral:rRNA from 1 species
AACGAACGCUGGCGGCAGGCUUAACACAUGCAAGUCGAACGGUAAGGCCCUUCGGGGUACACGAGUGGCGAACGGGUGAGUAACACGUGGGUGAUCUGCCCUGCACUUCGGGAUAAGCCUGGGAAACUGGGUCUAAUACCGGAUAGGACUCCGGACUGCAUGGUCUGGGGUGGAAAGCUUUUGCGGUGUGGGAUGGGCCCGCGGCCUAUCAGCUUGUUGGUGGGGUGAUGGCCUACCAAGGCGACGACGGGUAGCCGGCCUGAGAGGGUGACCGGCCACACUGGGACUGAGAUACGGCCCAGACUCCUACGGGAGGCAGCAGUGGGGAAUAUUGCACAAUGGGCGCAAGCCUGAUGCAGCGACGCCGCGUGAGGGAUGACGGCCUUCGGGUUGUAAACCUCUUUCAGCACAGACGAAGCGCAAGUGACGGUAUGUGCAGAAGAAGGACCGGCCAACUACGUGCCAGCCGCCGCUGUAA